rnacentral:tRNA from 1 species
UUGGGGAUUAGCCAAGUCGGUAAGGCACAUGACUUUGACUCAUCUCUGCGUAGGCUCGACUCCUGUCCCUUAUAC